GGAAGUAAAAGUCGUAACAAGGUUUCCGUAGGUGAACCUGCGGAAGGAUCAUUACCGAGUGAGGGCCCUUUGGGUCCAACCUCCCACCCGUGUUUAUUUUACCUUGUUGCUUCGGCGGGCCCGCCUUUACUGGCCGCCGGGGGGCUCACGCCCCCGGGCCCGCGCCCGCCGAAGACACCCCCGAACUCUGUCUGAAGAUUGAAGUCUGAGUGAAAAUAUAAAUUAUUUAAAACUUUCAACAACGGAUCUCUUGGUUCCGGCAUCGAUGAAGAACGCAGCGAAAUGCGAUACGUAAUGUGAAUUGCAAAUUCAGUGAAUCAUCGAGUCUUUGAACGCACAUUGCGCCCCCUGGUAUUCCGGGGGGCAUGCCUGUCCGAGCGUCAUUGCUGCCCUCAAGCCCGGCUUGUGUGUUGGGCCCCGUCCUCCGAUUCCGGGGGACGGGCCCGAAAGGCAGCGGCGGCACCGCGUCCGGUCCUCGAGCGUAUGGGGCUUUGUCACCCGCUCUGUAGGCCCGGCCGGCGCUUGCCGAUCAACCCAAAUUUUUAUCCAGGUUGACCUCGGAUCAGGUAGGGAUACCCGCUGAACUUAAGCAUAUCAAUAAGCGGAGGAA
rnacentral:misc_RNA from 1 species